GUAAUGUCUGGGAAACUGCCUGAUGGAGGGGGAUAACUACUGGAAACGGUGGCUAAUACCGCAUAACGUCGCAAGACCAAAGAGGGGGACCUUCGGGCCUCUUGCCAUCAGAUGUGCCCAGAUGGGAUUAGCUUGUUGGUGAGGUAACGGCUCACCAAGGCGACGAUCCCUAGCUGGUCUGAGAGGAUGACCAGCCACACUGGAACUGAGACACGGUCCAGACUCCUACGGGAGGCAGCAGUGGGGAAUAUUGCACAAUGGGCGCAAGCCUGAUGCAGCCAUGCCGCGUGUAUGAAGAAGGCCUUCGGGUUGUAAAGUACUUUCAGCGGGGAGGAAGGUGUUGUGGUUAAUAACCGCAGCAAUUGACGUUACCCGCAGAAGAAGCACCGGCUAACUCCGUGCCAGCAGCCGCGGUAAUACGGAGGGUGCAAGCGU
rnacentral:rRNA from 2 species